GACGGAAGGUGCAAGCGUUGCUCGGAAUCACUGGGCGUAAAGGGUGCGUAGGCGGCUUGGUAAGUUGGGUGUGAAAGCCCCGGGCUCAGCCCGGGAAGGGCACUCGAAACUGCCGAGCUGGAGUGCCGGAGGGGAGAGUGGAAUUCCUGGUGUAGCGGUGAAAUGCGUAGAUAUCAGGAGGAAUACCGAUGGCGAAGGCAGGUCUCUGGGCUAUAACUGACGCUCAUGCACGAAAGCGUGGGGAGCAAACAGG
rnacentral:rRNA from 1 species